UAUAUUAUAGGUCUAGUUCCUAUAGGUAUAUUAUAGGUCUAGUUCCUAUUGGUAUAUUAUAGGUCUAGUUCCUAUUGGUAUAUUAUAGGUCUAGUUCCUAUAGGUAUAUUAUAG